CCUACGGGAGGCAGCAGUGAGGAAUAUUGGUCAAUGGGCGCAAGCCUGAACCAGACCAUGCCGCGUGCAGGAUGAAGCAUCUAGUGGUGUGUAAACUGCUUUUGUACGGGAAGAAACCCUGCCACGUGUGGCAGAUUGACGGUACCGUAAGAAUAAGGAUCGGCUAACUCCGUGCCAGCAGCCGCGGUAAUACGGAGGAUCCAAGCGUUAUCCGGAAUCAUUGGGUUUAAAGGGUCCGUAGGCGGUUUUAUAAGUCAGUGGUGAAAUCCGGCAGCUCAACUGUCGAACUGCCAUUGAUACUGUAGGACUUGAAUUAUUGUGAAGUAACUAGAAUAUGUAGUGUAGCGGUGAAAUGCUUAGAUAUUACAUGGAAUACCCAUUGCGAAGGCAGGUUACUAACAAUAUAUUGACGCUGAUGGACGAAAGCGUGGGGAGCGAACAGGAUUAGAUACCCUGGUAGUCCACGCCGUAAACGAUGGAUACUAGCUGUUUGGUUGUAAGACUGAGUGGCUAAGCGAAAGUGAUAAGUAUCCCACCUGGGGAGUACGGGCGCAAGCCUGAAACUCAAAGGAAUUAGACGG
rnacentral:rRNA from 1 species